rnacentral:rRNA from 1 species
GUAUGACUCUCGGCAAUGGAUAUCUCGGCUCUUGCAUUAAUGAACAAUGUAGCAAAAUGCGAUACCUGGUGUGAAUUACAGUAUCCUACAAACCAUCAAGUCUUUGAAUGCAAGUUGCACCCGAGGCCACCAGGCUGAGGGCAUGCCUGCCUGGGCUUCACACCAAGCAAUGCU